rnacentral:rRNA from 1 species
CACUACGGUGCUGAAGCAACAAAUGCCCUGCUUCCAGGAAAAGCCUCUAAGCAUCAGGUAACAUCAAAUCGUACCCCAAACCGACACAGGUGGUCAGGUAGAGAAUACCAAGGCGCUUGAGAGAACUCGGGUGAAGGAACUAGGCAAAAUGGUGCCGUAACUUCGGGAGAAGGCACGCUGACACGUAGGUGAAGUGAUUUACUCAUGGAGCUGAAGUCAGUCGAAGAUACCAGCUGGCUGCAACUGUUUAUUAAAAACACAGCACUGUGCAAACACGAAAGUGGACGUAUACGGUGUGACGCCUGCCCGGUGCCGGAAGGUUAAUUGAUGGGGUCAGCGCAAGCGAAGCUCCUGAUCGAAGCCCCGGUAAACGGCGGCCGUAACUAUAACGGUCCUAAGGUAGCGAAAUUCCUUGUCGGGUAAGUUCCGACCUGCACGAAUGGCGUAAUGAUGGCCAGGCUGUCUCCACCCGAGACUCAGUGAAAUUGAACUCGCUGUGAAGAUGCAGUGUACCCGCGGCAAGACGGAAAGACCCCGUGAACCUUUACUAUAGCUUGACACUGAACAUUGAGCCUUGAUGUGUAGGAUAGGUGGGAGGCUUUGAAGUGUGGACGCCAGUCUGCAUGGAGCCGACCUUGAAAUACCACCCUUUAAUGUUUGAUGUUCUAACGUGGACCCGUGAUCCGGGUUGCGGACAGUGUCUGGUGGGUAGUUUGACUGGGGCGGUCUCCUCCUAAAGAGUAACGGAGGAGCACGAAGGUUGGCUAAUCCUGGUCGGACAUCAGGAGGUUAGUGCAAUGGCAUAAGCCAGCUUGACUGCGAGCGUGACGGCGCGAGCAGGUGCGAAAGCAGGUCAUAGUGAUCCGGUGGUUCUGAAUGGAAGGGCCAUCGCUCAACGGAUAAAAGGUACUCCGGGGAUAACAGGCUGAUACCGCCCAAGAGUUCAUAUCGACGGCGGUGUUUGGCACCUCGAUGUCGGCUCAUCACAUCCUGGGGCUGAAGUAGGUCCCAAGGGUAUGGCUGUUCGCCAUUUAAAGUGGUACGCGAGCUGGGUUUAGAACGUCGUGAGACAGUUCGGUCCCUAUCUGCCGUGGGCGCUGGAGAACUGAGGGGGGCUGCUCCUAGUACGAGAGGACCGGAGUGGACGCAUCACUGGUGUUCGGGUUGUCAUGCCAAUGGCACUGCCCGGUAGCUAAAUGCGGAAGAGAUAAGUGCUGAAAGCAUCUAAGCACGAAACUUGCCCCGAGAUGAGUUCUCCCUGAGACUUUAAGUCUCCUGAAGGAACGUUGAAGACGACGACGUUGAUAGGCCGGGUGUGUAAGCGCAGCGAUGCGUUGAGCUAACCGGUACUAAUGAACCGUGAGGCUUAACCUU